rnacentral:rRNA from 1 species
GCUUGUCUCAAAGAUUAAGCCAUGCAUGUCUAAGUAUAGUACCUUAUACUGCGAAACUGCGAAUGGCUCAUUAAAUCAGUUAUAAUUCAUUUGAUGGUACUUACUACUCGGAUAACCGUAGUAAUUCUAGAGCUAAUACAUGCUGUAAAGCCCGACUUCUCGGAAGGGCCGUAUUUAUUAGAUAACAGACCAGCAGCUUCGGCUAUUGUGGUGAAUCAUAGUAACUAAUCGGAUCGCAUGGGCUAGUCCCGCGACAAACCAUUCAAGUUUCUGCCCCAUCAGCUUUCGACGGUAGUGUAUUGGACUACCGUGGCUUUUACGGGUAACGGAGGAUUAGGGUUCGAUUCCGGAGAGGGAGCCUGAGAAACGGCUACCACAUCUAAGGAAGGCAGCAGG